UUCAUGCAUGUACCGUAAGUUUGAUGUGAUGGGGAAUCUUCUUUUUUAUAGUGUUAAAGUUGGAAGUUAGGGUGAAAUAAACAAGGGCGAGAAGAUCCAGCGGCCCCUGAGAGUAGCACCCGAGGUGGCAGUCCUCGGGCCAGCGGCCCCGGAGCCAGCAGCCCCCGGGCCGACUACUGGUUCGGAGGUAGUCGAGGCUGUGGGUGCUGCUGGUCGGUCAACGGGACCCACCGCAAGUACUGCGGCUGCUGUGUCAGCGGCUUCAUAUGGUGCUGCACCGGCUGCCGUCAGUACUAGUGUGGCCGCAACCGAUCUUGCUCCAAGCGGCUGUCCUGGGGCUGGGAAUAAAAGGUAUUUGCGAUGUCCGCCUCGCUCGAGCAGGUGAUAACUCGAAAUCUUAUUUAUCUAGAUAUUUGUCGAUAAUCGUUGUUGGAUUGUUAUUUGUUGUGCUUUGAUUGUGUCGGGGAUGAGGAAGACGUCAUCCCUGCUGAUGAUGGCUCCAAGUUGGGGCUGCCGACUGCUGCCGCGGAGGCUACUUCUACUCUAGAGGCUACUCCCUUGAUGGAUUUGACCGAAGAGGAGUUUAUUAUUGCCCCUGUGUCAAAGUUGGGAGUUGGGAGUAACUAAACAUGGCCCUAGUUGUCAUUGACAAAUCCCCGGUCGACAAGCAAGGAGAAUCUGCGGUAAGGGAAUCAACGGGUACUCGUGAUGCCGAUGCGGUCGAUAACCAAGUACUUGAAUUGCCGGCGGAGUCGGAGGUUCAAGGGGUGAUGCAUGCCGUCAACUCUUGUGUUCGGGACUUGUAUGACUGAGCGCAGAAGAAUACCCAGCUUCUUCAUGAGCGUGCAGAGGCUGCACUUCGUGUUGCCCAGCUUGAGAGCGAUCUCAUGGAUGAACGACGCUCGUGGGAUAUUUGAAGACCCACGAUGAUGCUGUCAAGUCUUUUGCUUGAGCGGCGGGAACUCGAAGCUCAAGUGAAGAAGCGGGAUGCCCGGUACAAGUCGUUGCAGCAGAAGUGCCAAGAGCUCAAGAGCGUCGAAGCUCAUGCAGCUAGUCGGCUGCUUGAUUGUAUGAAUGCGCAUGAUCGAGUAGCUGAUGAGGCUGCCAACCUUAGGGAUCAGCUUGCUGAGGCUCGUGAAGCUUAUGCUUCUGAGAAGGAGGAGAAGCCUAGCAUGGCAGCCUCUCUGGCCAUAGCUAUGGUGGCCAACCGGGGUCAUGCUAUGACCCGAGAGAGGAUUCGAGCGGACUUCCAGGAGUUGUUGAGCGCUGCUCUGAUGGUGGCCAAUGUACUCGACCCGCUGAGGAAAGUGUUGAGCCUCGAUCCUUAGUCGAAAGGUUGAGGGGUGCCCCGGGUAUUAUUGCUAGUCCCUGCUUGCCAGCAGGUACUAGCAAUAGUGAAGUUGUACUAACCGCGGGCAGAUUUGUUCGCUGCUGGAGAGGGGAUAGCUCGGAGUUGCACGGACGCCAAGUGGGAACAGUACCUGGGGGAGGUUGAACCCAUAGCUGCUAGAAUGACCGAGUAUGUAACCUCUGAUGGUCAGUAGCAAUGGUAGUCCUGUAUUUAGUGUCGAGUAGUUUGUGAUGGACUCGAACAUAUUAUUUUGUCGUCAUAAUCCUGAACAAUGACUGUCUUGAAUUCUACUCAUGGUUUAUCA